AACAUACUCCCUCCGUCCCAAAAUUCUUGUUUUAGAUUUGUCCAGAUAUGAAUGUAUCUAGUCAUGUUUUAGUAUUUAGAUACAUUCAUUUCUAAACAAACCUAAGACAAUAAUUUUAGGACGGAGGGAGUACUAG
rnacentral:pre_miRNA from 1 species